rnacentral:rRNA from 1 species
UGCAUAUCAAAAAGCGGAGGAAAAGAAACCAACAGGGAUUGCCCUAGUAACGGCGAGUGAAGCGGCAACAGCUCAAAUUUGAAAUCUGGCUCUUUCAGAGUCCGAGUUGUAAUUUGCAGAGGGCGCUUUGGCUUUGGCAGCGGUCCAAGUUCCUUGGAACAGGACGUCACAGAGGGUGAGAAUCCCGUACGUGGUCGCUAGCUAUUGCCGUGUAAAGCCCCUUCGACGAGUCGAGUUGUUUGGGAAUGCAGCUCUAAAUGGGAGGUAAAUUUCUUCUAAAGCUAAAUAUUGGCCAGAGACCGAUAGCGCACAAGUAGAGUGAUCGAAAGAUGAAAAGCACUUUGGAAAGAGAGUCAAACAGCACGUGAAAUUGUUGAAAGGGAAGCGCUUGCAGCCAGACUUGCUUGCAGUUGCUCAUCCGGGCUUUUGCCCGGUGCACUCUUCUGCAGGCAGGCCAGCAUCAGUUUGGGCGGUGGGAUAAAGGUCUCUGUCAUGUACCUCUCUUCGGGGAGGCCUUAUAGGGGAGGCGACAUACCACCAGCCUAGACUGAGGUCCGCGCAUCUGCUAGGAUGCUGGCGUAAUGGCUGUAAGCGGCCCGUCUUGAAACACGGACCA